UACGGAGGAUGCAAGCGUUAUCCGGAAUUAUUGGGCGUAAAGGGUCUGUAGGUGGUGAUUCAAGUCUGCUGUCAAAGCGCGGAGCUUAACUCUGUACAGGCAGUGGAAACUGAGUCACUUGAGUUCGGUAGGGGUUGCGGGAAUUCCCAGUGUAGCGGUGAAAUGCGUAGAUAUCAGGAGGAACACCGGUGGCGAAGGCGGGUCUCUGGGCCGAUACUGACGCUGAGGAGCGAAAGCGUGGGGAGCGAACAGG
rnacentral:rRNA from 1 species